rnacentral:rRNA from 1 species
AGAGUUUGAUUCUGGCUCANNNNNNNNNNUGGCGGCAGGCCUAAUACAUGCAAGUCGAACGCCGUAGCAAUACGGAGUGGCAGACGGGUGAGUAACGCGUGGGAACAUACCCUUUGGUUCGGAAUAACUCAGGGAAACUUGAGCUAAUACCGGAUACGUCCAAGGUUUUAAUCGGCCUUGGAGAAAGAUUUAUCGCCGAAGGAUUGGCCCGCGUCUGAUUAGCUUGUUGGUGAGGUAAUGGCUCACCAAGGCGACGAUCAGUAGCUGGUCUGAGAGGAUGAUCAGCCACAUUGGGACUGAGACACGGCCCAAACUCCUACGGGAGGCAGCAGUAGGGAAUAUUGGACAAUGGGCGAAAGCCUGAUCCAGCCAUGCCGCGUGAGUGAUGAAGGCCUUAGGGUUGUAAAGCUCUUUUACCCGGGAAGAUAAUGACGGUACCGGGAGAAUAAGCCCCGGCUAACUUCGUGCCAGCAGCCGCGGUAAUACGAAGGGGGCUAGCGUUGUUCGGAUUUACUGGGCGUAAAGCGCACGUAGGCGGAUUCUUAAGUCAGGGGUGAAAUCCCGAGGCUCAACCUCGGAACUGCCUUUGAUACUGGGGAUCUUGAGUCCGGGAGAGGUGAGUGGAACUGCGAGUGUAGAGGUGAAAUUCGUAGAUAUUCGCAAGAACACCAGUGGCGAAGGCGGCUCACUGGCCCGGUACUGACGCUGAGGUGCGAAAGCGU